AUAUAUUGCAGGGGGCCCGGGCCUGUUGCCCCAUGCUUCCGCCCCCAGUGAUGUGAUGGUGAAGAAUGAUCGGUCAAAGAAAAUAAAAAACGGUAAUAGAGUUCUGCAAUCAAAAUUAAUAGGUGAUAGUUGCAGCAGUGAUUAGUUGUCCUAGGUUGUCCUUAGGUGAUAGUUGCAGCAGUGAUGGUGGUGGUGAAGGAUGAUUGGUUAAAGAAAAUACAAAACGGUAAUAGGUUCUGCAAUCAAAAUUCAAAGGGCUUGUGUUUGAAGGCCGAAGGGUUGCAAUGAUGGUGAUAGUUGCAGGGGUGGUGUAACUAGUUGUUGUUGUUAGGUGGUUGCGGCAGUGAUGGUGGUGGUUGCGGCAUUGAUGAUGAUAGGGAUGGUGGUGACGAAGGAAGAUUGGCUAAAGAAAAGAAAAAUGGUAAUGGGGUUCUGCAAUCAAAGGGCUUGUGUGUGAAGGCCUAAAGUUUUGUUUUAUCUCUACAACCGCGCAAAUGGAAUCAAUCCCUUCAACUGUCCUGUUCAGGGCACAAAUCUUGAUUCGAGAUUUGUUUUGUGGAACGAAACGUGUGGAUUGGUUAGCUUGAUGAAUGCAUUUGGUUUUGGGUGGUAGCUGAAAAUUGUGGUAGUUGAUUUGGCGAUUAUUGGAGCAAGUGGGACGCAUCCAACCCAAUUUCUGAUUUCAUGCUUUCUGCAAAGCUUCAGGAAAAUAAUGUGUAUUGUAUAUUUUUAUGUUUUAAAAAUAUUUUUAAAAAAAUUUAAAUUUUUUUUAUUUUUUUUAUUUUAAAUUAAUAUAUUUUUAAUAUUUUUAUAUCAUUUUGAUACGCUGAUAUUAAAAAUAAUUUUUAAAAAAUAUAUUAUUUUGAUAUAUUUUUAAGUGAAAAGUAGUUUGAAAAGCAACCGUAAUCAUACUUCCAAACAGGUUAUGUAUAGGUUUACAAUAUCGAUUGUUUUUUGAAAUGAUCUUUAUUUGAAAAUAUAUUAAAAUAAUAAUUAUUAAUUUUUUUAAAAUUUAUUUUUGAUAUUAGUAUAUUAAAUCAAUUUAAAAAUUUGGCGAUUAUUGAAGCAAGUGUGACACAUUCAACCCAAUUUCUGAUUUCAUGCUUUCUGCAAAGCUUCAUGAAAAUUAUGUAUAUUUCAUGCCUAUAUAUUUUUACAUUUAAAAAAUACUUUUGAAAAAAUUUAAAAACUUUUUAUUUUUUUUCUUUGCUUUAAAUUAAUAAAUUUUUGAUAUUUUUACAUUAUUUUGAUACGCUGAUAUCAAAAAUAAUUUAAAAAAAAAUAUUAUUUUGAUAUAUUUCUAAGUGAAAAGUAUUUUAAAAAGUAACCGUAACCAUACUCCCAAACAGGGUAUAGAUUUACAAUAUCGAUUGUUUUUUGAAAUGAUUUUUAUUUGAAAAUAUAUUAAAAUAAUUAUUUUUAAAUUUAAAAAAAUUUAUUUUUGAUAUUAGUAUAUUAAACCAAUUCAAAAACAAAAAAAAAAUUAUUUAAUUAAAAAUUUUAACUUUUUUUUCAAAAACACGAUGUCAUCGAAAAAAUAAACACAAAUAUAGGCUAUGCCUAUUUUCCUAAGUAGUGCUAAUUUCUUUCUUGUUUAUAAAUAUUUUUUAUUUAAAAAUAUAUCAAAAUAAUUUUUUAAAUUUUUUUAAUAUUAGCAUAAUUUUUUUUUUUUUACGUGGUGGUGUUGAUCUUAGUAGUUGGUGGAUGCUGCUUUGGUGUGUUUAUAAAGGAAAAGAUUUUUCAUAAUGGAGGAGAUGCAUAGAAUAGAAAAGAGAAGAAUAUUACAACUUGAGCUCAAAUAGCUAGGUGAUUAAUUUAAGCUUGUUUGUUUUUAUGUUUUAAAAAGGUAUUUUUAAAGAAAUUUUUAUUUUUAUUUUAUUUUAUUUUUUUUACUUUAAAUUAAUAUUUUUUUGAUAUUUUUAAAUCAUUUUAAUGCAUUAAUAUAAAAAAUAAUGUUUAAAAAAUAUAAAAAAUAUAUUAUUUUAAUACAUUUUCAAACAAAAAAAUAUUUUAAAAAAUAACCACAACCACACUUUCAAACAACCCCAUCAUUAUUAUAAUCCAAAAAACUUAACAAUUAUUCUUAAAGUAAAGUCAAAUAAUGAAAUUGAAGAAAAAAUCAUUUUCUUUAAAAAAAAACCUAAAAAAUGAAAGUCAAAUCAAACUAAUCUUUAAACUCUGUAACCUGAGUCAUAAGAUUAAGAUUAUCCUAUAAAAGACACACCAAAAAAAUCAUGAAGUAAAAUUCUUAAUUAUCCAAAAUUAAAAAAAAUAAAAUAAUUAGCAAUCAAAACAAUAAUGAUCAAAUAUGAUAUAAAAACUAUAUGAAAGAAAGUAAUGAGGGAAUAAAUUGAAAAUAAAAUUAAUCAGGAAAAUAAUAAAAACAAAAAAAAUAGCAAUCAAAAUAAUAAGGACUAAAUUAGAUACAAAAAUUAAAUCAAAGAAAAUGUCGAGGGACAAUUUAAAAUAAAAUUUACUUCAAAAAUUUAAAAGCAAAACAAAUAGCAAUAAAAAAAAUAAUGAUUAAAAUUGAUACAAAUACAAAUUCACAUGACACAUUUAACUUUUGGAAGGGCUAGCGUGAAAUCUGAGGUUAUGAGAGAGAAAAAAGGGAAGAAAAAAAUAUAUCUAUUGGCGCCUAACUACUACGUUGCCAUGUACAUAUAAUGACUACCAGGACGAGAACAAUACAACACUUUCAAUAUUAUUAUGGAAGAUGGUGUUUGACAGCUGGAAGGCACCGCAUUCAGCUCCCAAAAAAAUGAGUGCCUCUCAUUUAUUUGUUCAUGCAUGAUAUGCGUCAACAAUUUUUGUUUUUUUAAUUAUAUUUAUAUUUAUCAAAAAAUUGAAUUACCCCUCAAUCAAAUUGAUUAUAACUAAAAAACAAUUAAGAAAUACAAAAAAGUCACUCGACGUCAGUUUUAAAUUUUUACUUUAAAGGGAAAUGUAGUUAUUUCAUUGUGCAAUCAAAGCAUUAAAAGAUCAAAAAUCCCUUGGAUCCUAGUUUUAAUUUAUUUUUAUUUUUUUUCUUUUAAGAGUAUUUAAGUUAUUUAAUUUUGCAUAUAAAAUGUUAAAAGACCAAUUUGUCUCCAAUCAAUAUGAUAGUGACAAAUAAACCCUAUAAAAAAGAGUGGUUUGCCAUCAAUAACUACUUAAGUGAUUUUUGUUUGAGAAUGGGAAAAAAAAAUCAUUUUACUGUUUCAAUUUAUAUUAAGAAAAUACAAAACGGUAAUAGGUUCUGCAAUCAAAAUUCAAAGGGCUUGUGUUUGAAGGCCGAAGGGUUGCAAUGAUGGUGAUAGUUGCAGGGGUGGUGUAACUAGUUGUUGUUGUUAGGUGGUUGCGGCAGUGAUGGUGGUGGUUGCGGCAUUGAUGAUGAUAGGGAUGGUGGUGACGAAGGAAGAUUGGCUAAAGAAAAGAAAAAUGGUAAUGGGGUUCUGCAAUCAAAGGGCUUGUGUGUGAAGGCCUAAAGUUUUGUUUUAUCUCUA
rnacentral:lncRNA from 1 species